rnacentral:rRNA from 1 species
GUGCCAGCAGCCGCGGUAAUACAGAGGUCCCAAGCGUUGUUCGGAUUCACUGGGCGUAAAGGGUGCGUAGGCGGUUGGAUAAGUCUGACGUGAAAUCUUCGAGCUCAACUCGGAAACUGCAUCGGAAACUAUCCAGCUAGAGGAUUGGAGGGGAGACUGGAAUUCUCGGUGUAGCAGUGAAAUGCGUAGAUAUCGAGAGGAACACCAGUGGCGAAGGCGAGUCUCUGGACAAUUCCUGACGCUGAGGCACGAAAGCUAGGGGAGCAAACAGGAUUAGAAACCCCGGUAGUCC